rnacentral:rRNA from 1 species
GGAUGAACGCUAGCUACAGGCUUAACACAUGCAAGUCGAGGGGAAACGGCAUUUAGUGCUUGCACUGAAUGGACGUCGACCGGCGCACGGGUGAGUAACGCGUAUCCAACCUUCCCAUUACUGUGGGAUAACCUGCCGAAAGGCAGACUAAUACCGCAUAGUCUUCGAUGACGGCAUCAGAUUUGAAGUAAAGAUUUAUCGGUAAUGGAUGGGGAUGCGUCUGAUUAGCUUGUUGGCGGGGUAACGGCCCACCAAGGCAACGAUCAGUAGGGGUUCUGAGAGGAAGGUCCCCCACAUUGGAACUGAGACACGGUCCAAACUCCUACGGGAGGCAGCAGUGAGGAAUAUUGGUCAAUGGACGAGAGUCUGAACCAGCCAAGUAGCGUGCAGGAUGACGGCCCUAUGGGUUGUAAACUGCUUUUGUAUGGGGAUAAAGUCAAUCACGUGUGAUUGUUUGCAGGUACCAUACGAAUAAGGACCGGCUAAUUCCGUGCCAGCAGCCGCGGUAAUACGGAAGGUCCGGGCGUUAUCCGGAUUUAUUGGGUUUAAAGGGAGCGUAGGCCGGAGAUUAAGUGUGUUGUGAAAUGUAGACGCUCAACGUCUGACUUGCAGCGCAUACUGGUUUCCUUGAGUACGCACAACGUUGGCGGAAUUCGUCGUGUAGCGGUGAAAUGCUUAGAUAUGACGAAGAACUCCGAUUGCGAAGGCAGCUGACGGGAGCGCAACUGACGCUUAAGCUCGAAGGUGCGGGUAUCGAACAGG